rnacentral:rRNA from 1 species
GACGAACGCUGGCGGCGUGCUUAACACAUGCAAGUCGAACGGAAAGGCCUUUUCGGAGGUACUCGAGUGGCGAACGGGUGAGUAACACGUGGGUGAUCUGCCCUGCACUCUGGGAUAAGCCUGGGAAACUGGGUCUAAUACCGGAUAGGACCGCACUUUAGUGUGUGUGGUGGAAAGUUUUUUCGGUGUAGGAUGAGCCCGCGGCCUAUCAGCUUGUUGGUGGGGUAAUGGCCUACCAAGGCGGCGACGGGUAGCCGGACUGAGAGGUUGGUCGGCCACACUGGGACUGAGAUACGGCCCAGACUCCUACGGGAGGCAGCAGUGGGGAAUAUUGCACAAUGGGCGCAAGCCUGAUGCAGCGACGCCGCGUGGGGGAUGACGGCCUUCGGGUUGUAAACUCCUUUCGCCAGGGACGAAGCGUUUUGUGACGGUACCUGGAGAAGAAGCACCGGCUAACUACGUG